AGCUAGGUGGCCAUCCAAAUAAAGCACCAGCUCUGGAUUCUAAUAGAUCUCAACACAACUUUUUUGGGGAACAGAAGAAGCAUGAGCAAAAGGGACUGGAUGACCAAGGUAAAGCUACAGUAACCAGAAUUGGAUGGUAACAAAAAGCUUUCUGGAGAUCCAAGCAAGAAAAGAAAGAAAAUUGAUGUCCUGGUAUCAUGGCAGUGGAGAUCUUUAAGAAUACUGAUGC
rnacentral:lncRNA from 1 species